CUCUCUCUCUUUCUUCUUUUGCGUUUUCUCAAUCUCUCACUCUCCUUCUCAUGUCCAAACAUAGGUUUCCAAAUAUCUCAUCUUGAUUUUUAAAAGGAUUAUAUGUGUUUGAAUUUUCCAUUGUUUGUGUUGUAAACAUAUGUUUUUUUCGCAGGAUUAUGCAACAGAGACACCUUUGACGGAUAAAUCAUCAUCAUCUGGAGAUGGAAAAAAUAUCACCUACUACAAUAUAUCAUCCGUCUGUAAUUCUGGUAAUGAAGUUUUUGGUAAUAGAAAUUGCUUAAAUUUAUUAAGGUUUUGCUUUUUGAUGAUUUAGGUGGUGUUUGUUUUACCUUAGGAUCAGGAAACUGGAAUUUGAUGUCAGCUUGAAGAAAGAGACCUCAAAGGGCAUCUGAAACUUAGCUGCGACUUUUAGUCUCUCUUCCCUCUCCUAUUAAUUUCCAAUCAUUCCCUCACCAAGGAGGUCCAACAAAUAUAAA
rnacentral:lncRNA from 1 species